CAGAUUUCCCCUAAGAUGCUCUAAGGAUGCCCUCUCUAGGUGCAGGAGUCAGUCUAAAGUUACCUCCUGGGGGAAGUCUUCUGUCCAGUUUUUAAAUGGAAGUUCUAGCUGCAGGCAGCAAGUCUCAUCACUGAAUAGAACCGGUUUUCAUUUGGUGCAAACACUAUCUCCUCCAGGAAGCCCUCCCAGGACCCUUCCCAGCCCCUAGUGAAAGUGCCUCCCUCCUGCUAGCCUGCCACUUUCUCCCUUGUGGUCCAUUCUGGAUGUCAGUGCCGGGCCAGUGAGCAUCCUAGCGGGCGCCUGAGUCAUACCCGGAGUGCACCUGGAGAGCCCCUUUCUGCUCACACUUUACAGGGCCCCAUGCUGGCCUCAGACACGCCCAUCUUCUCAUUUAAGCCUUACAACAACCUUCCGAGGUAGUCAUCACCAUCCCCAUCUUACAGAUAAGGAAACUGCGGUCAGAGGCCACAGAGGUGACUUACCCGAGCCCCACACCUGGUGUCACAGUGGAGUGGAGCCUGGCUCCUUGGCCCUGAGUUCAGCCCCCAUCACAGCUGCCGAAUUCACAGUCAGUGCUCAACACGUGUUCACGUGUUUGGAGGACGAACCAAACCCGAGUUCUCGGGGCUCCCCAGCCAGCAUGAAGACCGUGUAACCACAGCACGCAUGGGCGGGCCGCUUGGCAAUGGCCAGGCUCAUGCUCUACUGAGCCCCUGGGGGUCACGACUCCCCUGCUGCUCUGUGCAGAGAAAGAAAAGGCAGUCACCUCUCUCUUCCCUCACUGGAAGACCUGGUGAGCAGGAAGUACAGGAUCGUUUUGAAUUCAGCAGAUUUUGAAUAAUGCCAGAUCAGGAGUGGAUCUCUGGGGUAAGAUGCAAUGGUCCCACACACUUAUAUGUCACCAGAGUCCACUCUUUGGGGAACAGCAAUUUGACGGAACAUGUCAAGAGCUUGUGAAAAUAAGUAAUUCACAUUCGACCUGUUACCCAGAAAAAAACCGGGGUUCAUUCACCUGGUGAAUCUCAAACGGCUCUCCACGAGAACGCAGGUUUGGAUCAGUAGGAGUUUUAUGACUCGCCACAGGUAAGAAGAGCCCUGGGAGGAUUCUCCAAAGCAGUGUCUCCCUGAGGGAAAGUGACAGGAGGGUUUUAUGCAGUGAUGGAGGGGACGAGGGGCCCCGCUGCUGCAGACGCAGGGCACCAUCAUGCCAGCCCACAGGUUGCCUGUGAUGGUGAUGAAGGUGUAGCUCCUCCUGAGGUGGAGCUCAUGGUCAGCAUGGUCAUGAGGAAUGUGUACUCAGGUUCAUCUAGAACAGGGGUGUCCAAUCUUUUGGCUUCCCUGGGCCACACUAGAAGAAGAAUUGUCUUGAGCCACACAUAAAAUACACUAAUACUAACUGUAUCUAAUGAGCUAAAAAAAUCGCAAAAACAAAUCUCAUCAUGUUCAAAGAAGGUUUAUGAAUUUGUGUUGGGUCACAUUCAAAGCCGUCCUGGGCCGCCGGUUGGACAAGCUUGAUCUAGAAGUUGCCUGGGUCUGUCAGGAGCUGGUGCCAGCAACUAGGUGACCACAUUCAACACAGGGUUUGGGAAAAAACAAGCUGCAAAGCAGGAGGCUGUCAAACAGGCUUAUUGUGCCAGUUGACUAAAUGCCUAUAGUCCCUGGAGACCCUCCCUGUCUGCUUACAAACCUGUUGGAAUUUUAUUUGGAGCCUUAAAGGAAAUGUGACUGUGGGACCUGAGUCACAUAACAGGCAGCCACAACCUCUGUUUCUCUGAUUAUAGAUCAACUUUUUCCAUACCUACAUUCUUUUGUAAAAUGUCGUAAAAGACUAAAGGGCACUGGAGGAAAGACCCCUUUUUCCUCAUUACUGACUCUCCUUGUAGGUUAACUUCCUUCUUUCCUCUCUUGUACCUGACUCCGACCAGAUAGCACAAUAGGCUCUGUGACAAUCAAUUUACUCAAGAUAGAUGUUGACUAUACCUUUCCUGACAAAGAACAAGCUGCAACCAAUCAGAUUGCUGUAAUUCAUAGAUCAGCCUCGUAUGGAAAAGGCUGCUAAACUUUAGUAAUCCUGCUAAACUUCUUUGUUUCUACCUAUGCAAGUAAAACCUUAACUUCUCCAUUUCAGAGCAUUGAUUCCAUUCCUCUGGAGUCUGUGUCUCCCGGACAGUCAUCCUUAAACUUUGCACUUGCAUUAACUCUUUUUUUUUUUUUUUUUUUUGAGAUGGAGUCUUGCUCUGUUGCCCAGGCUGGAAUGUAGUUGUGCAAUCUCAGCUCACUGCAAACUCCACCUCCCAGGUUCAACCAAUUCUCCUGCCUCAGCCUCUUGAAUAGCUGGGAUUACAGGCGUCGUGCCACCAGGCCUGGUUAGUUUUUGUAUUUUUAGUAGAGACAGAGGUUCACCAUGUUGGCUGGGCUCGUCUCGAACUCCUGACCUCAGGUGAUCCACCAUCCCACCCCGCCGCGGCUUCCCAAAGUGUUGGGAUUACAGGCAUGAGCCACUUUGCCCAGCCGCAUGAACUCUUUAGAACAGUAUUCUGAUCCUUUUGAUUAUCAGGUUGAAAAGCCAUAGAAACAAUUUAUAUGCUUUAACCAAUUAUUUCCUCUGGGAUUUAUCCCAGAGAAAUAAUUUUUUUAAAGCAAACCAAAAAUAUAAGUGUUGGGGUACAGAAAAUGAUUCCCCAAAAUGUGGCACUUGGGCAUGCUGAGUGCUUUUGAAAACUGAAAGGCCUCACAAAUAAGCCUCAGCAUCAAGGCCUCUCUAACCUUGUCUCGUUCUCUCCCUCUCACCCCUCAAGUCCUUGGAGGGACUCUCUGGAAUUUCCUUAUCUGACCUAGAAAGUGUCUUGCCAAAAGAAACACAUUUGCCUUCUGUCCGUCUGAUACCCCAUUAUCCACUGCAGAAAAGAAGCCGGAAGAAAAGAAGUCAGAAGUCCAACCACAGCUGGAUGGACUUUUCCACAACAUAAUGUCUGCCUCUCAGACUCAUUCCAUUCACAAGUUGAUUUCUGUCUCCCUGAUCCAUUCAUUCUCCUUAAUAAUCAUUUACUGCUCCUCAAAACAAUGCUCUAUGUUUCCCAUCUCCUCGCUCCCCUGGGAAAAAGAGUACAUAAGCUUCUGUACCCCAUUGGGGGAUUGGGGUAAUCACACUGUAAUUCUCUCCCAUGAAUGUUAAUAAAUGUGUAUCCUUUUUCUCCUACUAAUCUGCCUUUUGUCAGGUGAUUUUCAGUGAACCUUCAGAAGGAAAAGGGGAAGUUUUCCCUUCACCCAUAUGCAGGCAUGUAAAGAUGUUCAUUGCAGUGCUGUUUAUAGCAGAGAAAAUGGCAAACACAAUCAAACAAUAGGGGGAUAGUUAAGAAAAAAAUGCACAGUUGCAGUUAGACUGGUCUCUACCGGCAGGGAGGUUUUUUUUCACCCUUUUUGAUUCUCACAGCAGCCCUAUGAUGUAGACAAAACCGGGUUCACAUUUAUUCUCCCCAUUAUUCAUGGGGGUGGGGGCCAGGAUGCAGACUGAGUUUUGAGAAAUUCUGGGCAGAGCUUCCAACAGGGAAUCAGAUUCUGAACUGGGACAGCUCCCAGGUGUCCUAAAGCGGAAUCCAGAGCUGACUCACAGCAGCGUGUGUCUGACAGGGGGAUCCAGCGGCAAGUCCCUACUCUUGGAUAAAGAUGAAACCACCUUUGCGAAAAUUAUGACAGAGGCCGGGCACGGUGGCUCACACCUGUUAUCCCAGCACUUUGGGAGGCCAAGGCAG
rnacentral:lncRNA from 10 species